rnacentral:tRNA from 3 species
GGAGAGGUGGCCGAGUGGCUGAAGGCGCACGCUUGGAAAGCGUGUAGGCGGUAAUCCCGUCUCGAGGGUUCGAAUCCCUCUCUCUCCGCCA